AUCUAAAUGAGGUCCAGAAUGCAUGGAAGGAAUAUGCAUGGAUCCUACAACCAUCUGGAAUUACUCAUUUUAAAAUUCAGUUUAAUGGUAUUGCUGGAUCUGGAACUGGUGGAGAUAUAGCUAUUGAUGGUAUCAGAGUGAUUCAGGUGCCUGGCAACUGUAUAGAAGUUGUGUCCACCCCAGCAUCCUUUCAAUUUGACAGUGAUAACUGUGGUUUCACACAGGAUAAAGAUGAAGAGUUGGAGUGGACUCUUUAUAAGAGAGAAGCUCCAGGGAGGAGUAGCACUGGGCCACAGGCAGACCACACAGGGAAUGAUGGAUUCUACUACCUGCUGGAACCCAGAUAUCAGACUGCUUCUUCACAAGCCAUAGCAAGGAUAAGAUCCCCAUGGAUAAACAUUUCCCAGGAACACUGCCAGGCCACUGUAAGCUUUGAGUACCAUGCAUUUGGAUCUCAUUUGGUGACGUUCAAUGUGAAAUACCAGAUAAAUGGC